rnacentral:rRNA from 1 species
CCUACGGGGAGCAGCAGUCGAGAAUCAUUCACAAUGGGGGAAACCCUGAUGGUGCGACGCCGCGUGGGGGAAUGAAGGUCUUCGGAUUGUAAACCCCUGUCAUGUGGGAGCAAAUUAAAAAGAUAGUACCACAAGAGGAAGAGACAGCUAACUCUGUGCAAGCAGCCGCGGUAAUACAGGGGUCUCAAGCGUUGUUCGGAAUCACUGGGCGUAAAGCGUGCGUAGGCUGUUUCGUAAGUCGUGUGUGAAAGGGGCGGGCUCAACCCGCGGACAGCACAUGAUACUGCGAGACUAGAGUAAUGGAGGGGGAACCGGAAUUCUCGGUGUAGCAGUGAAAUGCGUAGAUAUCGAGAGGAACACUCGUGGCGAAGGCGGGUUCCUGGACAUUAACUGACGCUGAGGCACGAAGGCCAGGGGAGCGAAAGGGAUUAGAUACCCCUGUAGUC